rnacentral:rRNA from 1 species
AUGAUGGAGCUACCAGGGAGGCAUUAUUGGGUCUUCAGUGUCAACUUGAGGGACGGACGCUUCGAAGUUCUUGAUUCAAGCAGGACACUGGACAACAUUGAGCUGAUGAACAACGCCUCUACCAUUGCGGGGGCAGUACGCCAGCUAUGGAGGAAGCAUUACCCAAAGUUCAGCAUCGAGCACUUCCAGAUUAUUGACAUUGACGUACCAAAGCAGCUUGGCAAUAAUGAGUGUGGGUUGUUCGCACUGCUUAACGCCACCGAGUGGAAUGGUAGCCAACUGCCCAACUACGACCCCAAGGAAGUACUCAACAUCAGGAAGAAGCUGACGUAUGAUUGGGUCACCAGCGUGCACAACACCGCCCCAUGGAGGAAGUUGCUGAGAUACGACAAGGAGUAG